GUCCACCUGAUGAGUUAAGCCUUUUUCAACUGAUUUUUAUAGUUCGUUCUUAUGUUGUACUGUUAUACCACUGUCCCAGGUUAGGGGGAGGGUUGGGAUCCCGGUAACAUGUUUAACCCCGCCACAUUAUUUAUGUAUGUGCCUGUCCCAAGUCAGGAGCCUGUAAUUCAGUGGUUGUUGUUUGUUUAUGUGUUACAUAUUUGUUUUUCG
rnacentral:lncRNA from 1 species